GCGUGGAAGCGGGGCUGCGGCCGCCCGCGGCGGGAGCCCCCAAGUCCGGGCACCCGCUCUCCGGGCGGGGCGAGGCGGCGCGCUCCGCUCCAGGCCGCGCCCUCCGCCGGGGCCUCCAGGUGGCGCUCGCGCCCAGGGCAGGGGGAGCGCGGGUUUCCUCAGAAGGUGGGAACUCAGCUGAGAAGCCGUCCCCCGCCGCCCGCCGGCACCCCGCUCCCCCUUCCCGCUCCCCGGUACCCCCACCUCCCGCCCCGAGUGACUGAGGGCCGAGAGGCCCCGCCCCCGCCGCCCGGAGUGGACCCGGUGCCCGCGGAGCCCGAACUCCCGGCUGGGGCGUCUCUUCCCUCCACUGGCGCUGAGCAGCCCCCGAGCCCGCGGGGAGGGCGGUGCGACCGCCGACCCCGCCCACGGCCUUCACGCCGCCCUGGGGAUGGACCCGGCGGGCGGAAGCCCAGUCCGCCCUCGGGGCCGCGCGUCAGUUCGGUCCAGUGUUCCCGGUCAAGCAACCGUCCUGAGAUGCUGUCCUCCAAAUGGUUACCCAGGCUCUCUCCAUUGUGGUUCUCCACUCAGCCAGCAGAUGGGGAAAGAAAAAGGAAGAUCACUAGAGAAGAGGCAGGCUUGAAAGGGGAGACAUCGAUUUGGUCCACAUUCCAUUGGCUAGAACUCAGUCAUAUGGCCAAGGAGGCUGGAAAAUGUAGUGAGCUGUGUGCCCAGGAAAAAAAGGAAACACUAGCAAAUAUUUAACUAGUUUUUGCCAGCUGCAAUGGGAGCUAAAUGUUUUCUGGCUUAUUUCCAAUGAAAAUAGAGUGCCUCAGUCCCUGUAUUCUAAGAAAGACACUGAGAUUCACCUUGAGUCACAGGCACAUCCCUGAACAGACGAACUGACCAGGGGACUGCAAUGGGCUGAUGGCCUCAAGCCCACCAGAGUCCACCUGUUGAACGAGAGGUGGGGUCGGCUUUCCCUGAAAUGUCUGGACUGCAUGGGAAAGAGAUUCACAGCAGCUAAAUGUACUCAGGACUCUCCGAUUACCACUGUCUUUCCAAUUUGGGACUUGGUUGUCAUCAAUCCAGGGAAAGAUAUUCAGGAAACUUUCCUUUUAAGGUUAGAAGUGCUUUGAAAUCUAGAGCAUAUUCCUGAAACACCAUCGUGUUUACUGAACAGACCUGUUCAGUGAAGUUUCCCACCCUUCACUACAAGCCCUAAGUGGUGACAGCCCAGUGGGGGCGUGGGGAGAGAGAGAGAGGAUGUACAGAAGAGGGACAGGCAUUCAGAGACAGAAUACUGGUGCUUUGGUCUCUGUCGCCCCACUCCAGCCAGGGGGCGCUUCAGAGUAGAGAGCACCAUCUUUUAACCCUGUCAAACCUGGACACUACACAUGUGUGCUCAGAGCAAGGCACCAAUUCAACAAACAUUUUAUUUAGGGCUUAUCAUAUUCCAGGCUCUGUUGUUAGGGAAAGCAUCCCCCAGUGAGAGGGUCAACAUAUGGAAAUAAUUUAAAUAUCUAUCUAUCUAAUGACUAUUAGAAAAACCACAGAAUUAUCUUAAAAGAUGAGCUAGAAUCAUAUAUAUUGACAGGGAAGGAUACUCGAGACUUAUGUUAAGGGGAAAAAGUUUACUAACAGUCUGUAUAGUAUGGUCCCUGUUUUGAUUGUUUUUAAAGUAUAGAUAAAUGAUCAGAGUUGGAUUUACGGCAAGGCUAAGGCUCAGAAGCUCUCACUUGCAGAGAUCUUGUUCAAAACUCUGAACUUAAUUUUGUAUUUUUCAUAAAGAGGGUCUCCAAAAAAGCAUAAGUAUGAGGUCAAAAUCUGAAUCAUUCCCUGAUAUUUAUAUACAUGACCAACUUUAUGGCCAACCGUGGUUAUCUCAGGCAGUUGGAAUGCAGAGACUUUCUCUUUUCUAUCAUCCCAAAGAAUGCCUCCUGAAAUUCCUUUAUAGCCAUCCCUUCUCUUACCCGUAACCCCUGGCCAGCCCUCCCUCUGUUUCUACACCUAUCUCUGAGUGAGAUAACUCAUGGGCUUUGUAAACAGAAGUCCAUUAUUCAAAUAGUAGAUACUAUCUCUACCCUAUGUCCCAGCCAACCUAUGGGACACCCUCUCUCAUCAUCUUCCUCCAAGUUCUGCUUUUCCCUGUUUCCCAGUGACCAGUAUCAUGACCUUCCACUUCAUUCCCUUUAACCAAUAUUCCCUUAAUCUCAUAUUGUCUGUUUCUCUCCCACUCUGCUCAUUUUCUGACAAAAAGCAAAGACCAAAAAUUACAUAUAUGUGUUUCUAGGACAGAGACUUUAUUUCUCACUAGUGAUAAAAAUUUUCUAGCACAAUAAAUAUGCCUAAAAUCUACUUAAAACUUAAGACAAAUAAAAAUAGCUAGUAAAGUCCAUAAAACCAACAGCAGUACUUUAAUUAGAUUAUGGUGCUUUUUUGCAUAUGUUUUCCUUAUGUGGUAAUGUUUGGUGCCCAGAGAGGCUUAGGGCUAUUUACUGCUGUCUAAAAUUGGCUUUUUGGACCAGCUACACUUCCUUAAGCAUCUUCACAUUUUUUUUAUUUUGCAUUACAAAUCAAAAAUGCUACAUUCAGCCAGUAGUUCAGUGCAAUUAGUAGACUAUAAACUAUUUGAUCAUCAUGGAAUCAGUUCAGUAAUUAUCUGUGAUUAAACUUAAUUUAUGUGAAUUGAAUAUGCAAGAAAUAUAAUUUAACUGUACCCUGUAUUAGUUCAAAUUAAGUUCAACUGCAUAUAAUAGUUAGCUACUUUCUCUUGCAAAGGGAUUUUACGAAUUCUAGGCAGUUUGGGGUUGCCGUGGCCAGGUGUCCCAAAUUCUUUAAGAACUCAAUCUCCUUCUGGCUGUCAGCUCUUAUAAUCUCUAAAGUGUGGGCCUGGUAUUCAUGGUCUAGGAAGGUAACUGGCUCUCCAGCCAUCUCAUCUAUGUUCCAGGCUGGCAACAGAUGAGGAAGAAUAAACACAUAAACACUUAAUAAGGAGACUUCACCCAGAAAUGCUGCACAGUAUUCUCACACCUCUAUGGCAAAUACCCCAACAUCUGACUCAGUGAACUGUUCAUGAGAAUAGGAAAUGUCAUCUUUUAACUGGACUGCAAUGCACCAACUAAAAAUUUGGGAUCUCUUACUAAAGGAAAAGGGGAGAUUAGGUUGAGUGAAGAAAUUUGCAUUCCCUGCCACGGUCUUAACAUAAAUAAUAUCAUGAUGAUUUAAAGAUGUUAUAUCUCUUCAUAAUACUUUGAAUUCUGUUAAAAGAUAAAGCACAUAAAAACCUUAAUAAAAAAAAGUAAAACCCAGUUCAAUCAGUAUAGUGAAUCAUCAGAAUUUAAAUAGAUUCAUAGUGUCAGCAGUGCACAGAUGGGCUGCAUUUGAGCAGAGGUUGCUUGGAAGGAUGCAGAAUACUCAGGAAGCAACCACUUCUUUUUCCUGUCAUUGGGAAACAGGUAAAAGCAGAACUUGGAGGAAGAUGAUGAGAGAGGGUGUCUUAUGGGCUGGCUGGGACAUAGGGUACAGAUAGUAUCUACUCUUUGAACAGUUGUGGUCAUGAAGAUCUGGAAAGUGCAUAUCAGAUCUGCGUGUUUGACUGUGGAAUUCAGUGCUGGAGGACAGAAAGAAGCAGAAGGUAAGGUUCCUGUCCCAAAAGGUGUUUCCAUUUAGGCUGGGAAACAAGUUCAAUAAAUCCUUCAACUUUUCAUGUAUUCAGUAUACAAGAGCUCUCAAUACAGUGAUAGAAGACAAUCCACAAGUCGGUGUGUGAUUUUUUUUUCCAGUCAAAUGCAUAGACGAUUGGUGCUGUAAGUGAUUGCAUGUGUUCUGCUGAUGAGGCAGUAAGAGUGUAACUAAAGGAGGAAGAGGUUUGAAAAGGAGUGGGUAAGGAAAUCCAGAUUGCAGAUUGGGGAGUUAACAUUUAUCGAGCUCUGCUCUGUGUCAGGCACUUUGUCAGGUGCUUUAUGUAAUCUGUGGGAUAAUUACUGUUAUUCCAUUUUUCAGAUGAGGAGUCUGAGGCUCACAUCAGUAAUUUCUUGCGGUUGAGCAGCCAGCCAGGAGAGAGAGCAGAAUUUGAAUGCGGGUCUGUCCCAAAAUAUAUGCUGUUUCCAUUACAGAAUUCCACCCCGGAUAGGAGUUGGGGUGGGAUAGUGUUGUAUAAAUGUGUUGUCAUCCAAGCCUCACUAGCUGGGAGGUUCUGGAUGAGGUCACAUUUAUAUAUUCAGAUUUCACUAGCUCAAAGUCUGUAUCACUCAUUUAAGAAUUCUGAUUUUCACCCAGUGAAUCCAUCUGCACUACUACCCGCAUUGGCCUCUUCCAUCUGGGAAAACUCGCCCUCACUGACCUUGACUGCUCCAUGCAGAACCCCCCCACCCCACCAUGAUUCUCUCGGUCCUGAGAGUUCAGCAGUUUUUUUUUACUGUCAGAAGCCACAGUGAUUCCAUGACAUAGCAGGAUUGAUUGAUUCACUCGAAUAUUUAUUAGGGGCUCUGUGAGAUGGAGAGGUGAGCUAGAGCUCUGAACCUGGCUCUGACACAGAGGCAGGUGUUGGUUUAGUGAGAGGAGGCCGACAAUAAGCAUGAUAAUUGCUAAUUGUGGUAAAUGCUAUUAAGAAAAUAGACGGAGCAAUGCGAUAGGAAAUAAUGACAGGCAGUGGGAGGGUGUUAGGGCUUCGAAGGAGACAGCCAUUUCUUUUCAUAAAGCCAGUUUAUUUUUUUUUAACUCCUUGGAGCAAUCAUUCAUAUCAGGGUAGCUGGGCCAAUAUAAAAUGAAGCAGCAGUUAUGAUGCCUUCCCUGGAGCCAUCAUUCCCCUCUAAAUCCCACGCACAGUGCAGAAUCCUACCAACCUCUCCUUCGUCCCUCCAAUGGUUCUGAAACUUGGCUAAGUUAUCAGAAUCACUGGGAGAUCUUUCAGAAUACCUGGGCUCUGCCUUUAGAGACUAGAGUUAGUUGGUUUGGGAUGGGUUUCAGGCAUGAAUUUUAAAGUUCCCAGGUGAUUCUAGUAUGUAGGCAAGAGUGCAAAUCACUGGUCAGAGCAGUGGUUCUCAAACCACUUGAGCAUCAGAAUUGUCUAGAGGGACUAGUCAUUGCUCUGCUGCCUCGUUUCCAUUGCCUGGCCCAGGGUCAUGGCCUGGGUGCCUCAAGAAACUCAUAGUGGCUCCUGAUUUUACGAUGUGUGGUUCUCAUACUUAAGGCAGUGACUCUCAACCUUUAAUGGGCAUAUGAAUCAUCUGGGGAACUUGUUAAAAUGCAGUUCUGAGUGGUUGCCAGUGGCUGGGGUGGGGAUGGGGCGAGAAGGAGGUGGGGAGUUGUUUUCAUGGGUACAGAGUUUCAGUUUCGCGGGAUGGAAAGACUUCUGGGAAUUGGUUGCACAAAAAUGUGAAUAUACUUAACACUACUGAACUGUACACUUUAAAAAACAGUUAAGAUGGUAAAUUCUGUGUUAUGCAUAUUUUAGCGCAGUUAUUUAAAAGUGCAGCUUCAGUAGGUCUGGGGCAGGGCCUGAGUGUCUGCAAUUCUUAUAAGCUCCGAAGUGGUGCCGGUGGGAACGCAGUUGCAGAAGCAAGGGUUCAGGGUGCAUCAGCAUUACCUGGGGGGCUUGAUUUAAUGUAGGCUCUUCAUCCUCAUCUCUGAGAUCUUGAUUCAGCAUGCCUGAGAUGGGGCUCAGGUGUAGCUGCUCUAAACGCCCCACUUUAAGAAAUAAUCUUCCAUGGGCUUCACUUCCAAAGGUGAGAUAGAUUAUUUACAGAUGCAAAACUGAGUCUGGCAUUUUAUUUCAUGUUUGAAAUAAGAGUUUCUGUAUGUUUCACAGCUUUAUAAAGUGCAGUGGCUUCCCUAGUUCAGCGGGCUAGGAAUGGAAAAGACCUUCAGCUGCAAGAGGGACUGGCCCCCAGAGUCCAGGGUCGUUGGUAGGCGCUGGGUUGAUGACUGUCAUGGAGCUCCUGGAAUAGCGUGUCCCCCAGCUGAUCAAACCUCAGGGCCCCGCAGUAUGCGAUGCCUGACUGGGUGUUCAGCAGGCCUCCUGUCCUAUCACCAAACCGCCCCCACCCCAGCCCAUCUCCAGUUCAGAGCAAGACCCAACAGCCAACCAAUCCAGACCUACUCCUGGCAAGUCUAUGGAGCCCCAGAAUCAUGCAGAGCUCUAACAGUUACUAUUAACGUGCGUUUGCUCUAUGGCAGCACCUUAGCCCCAUCAUCUCAUGUAAUCCUCUCAACACCCUGUGAGGUAUUUGCUGUUAUUAUCACCAUUUUAUAGGUGAGGAAAUAGAGACUCUGCCAAGUUGAGUAACUUACCCAAAGUCGUAGGGCCAGUAUGUGACAGAGCCAGGAUUUGAAACCAGCUUUGUCUGGCAAAGAUGCCCAGACUCUUUACACUGUGGAGAAUGGCUUUCCAUGGGCCCGGAAUUUGGGCCAAGAGUGGACUGCAGCUCAGGAGCACUAAUAGCAUAAGAGCUGUAACCUGUAUGCCUACGGAGAGCCCUCCAUUCAAAGUACGCUUCUCCACAUGGUGAUCAUUCUGCGUUGUACAAAAAUACCAGGGCACUCUGUUGUACACCUGAAACUAAUAUUGUAAGUCAAUUAUACUUUAAUAAACAAACGAAAACAAAGUGAAACUAAUACAAUAUUGUAAGUCAAUUAUGCUUCAAUAAACAAAACCAAAGUGAACUAAUAUAACAUUGUAAGUUGAUUAUACUUCAAUAAACAAACAACAAAGUACACUGACUGUCUUCAACACAUGGCUGUCCACAGCAGAAUUUCUAUUUAGAGUAAUUCGCGCUAAGGGGUAAAUAAGGCUUAGCUUUCCUAGCAAGUAACGUUUUGAAAAGAGUAACUUAUUAACCUAAAUGGGUCCAUGGUUGAUAGAAAGUGUAAGAGAAAUUCAUGGGGGAGUGUGCUGGGGGUUGAGUAUGGAGGGACUUUCCUUUAGAUAAGAUCUUUGAAACUGAAAGGGACCAUAUGUCAUCUGGUCCCAUUUUUCGUUGUUUAAAGAUGACUUAACAUAAAGCAAAUUGACGCUCGAACAUGUUUGUUUGUUUGUUUGUUUUAAUUUAUUUUUGGCUGUGCUGGGUCUUCGUUUCUGUGUGAGGGCUUUCUGUAGUUGUGGCGAGCAGUGGCCACUUUUCAUCGCAGUGUGAGGGCCUCUCACUAUCGCAGCCUCUCUUGUUGCGGAGCACAGGCUCCAGACGCGCAGGCUCAGUAGUUGUGGCUCACAGGACCAGUUGCUCGCGGCAUGUGGGAUCUUCUCAGACCAGGGCUCGAACCUGUGUCCCCGGCAUUGGCAGGCAGAUUCUCAACCACUGCGGCCACCAGGGAAGCCCAUCGAACAUGUUUUAAUAUAGAUUCUCCCAUGUCAGUUUACACAACUUUUUUUUUUUUUUUUUUUUUUUAGCGUUACUUGGGCCUCUCACUGUUGUGGCCUUUACUGUUGCAGAGCACAGGCUCCGGACGCACAGGCUCAGCGGCCAUGGCUCACGGGCCCAGCCGCUCCGCGGCAUGUGGGAUCUUCCCAGACCGGGGCACGAACCCGUGUCCCCUGCAUCGGCAGGCAGACUCAACCACUGUGCCACCAGGGAAGCCCCACAACUUUUUUCAUCUAAGCCCCUCCCCUCCCCCUGUUCUAAACAGGAAUUGCAGGUGAGAUGAUUAGAACACAUGUCUAAAUAUGGACUGAGCAUUUAUUGAGCAUCGAUUUGCCAGAUUCUGUGCUGGAAUUACAAAAAUGAAAAUAAAAUGCAUGAUUCCAAGAAACUCACACUGUCCUGUGUAGAUGUAAUUGUCUUGGGUGCUGAGGCAGCUCAGAGGGGGAAGCAAUACAACACUGGAAGGGACAGUUUAACUGAGUCUUGAAGGAUGGCAGGCUUACGAGUUUACCAGGCCAGCAAGCAGGGGCAAGAACCUUCUAGGCAGAGAGCCAAAGAAGGGCACCUGAAAGCUCACAGCAAAUGGUUCUCCCUGGAGCUGAGGGGCGUGUGAAGAAGCAGCAGGAUGUAGUGUUCGACCAGGUGGCAGGGCCAGAGAAGUGUUAGGGAGAAAUGAAAGUGUGACUGUAAGAGGCAUUAGCAGAGGUGUGUAGGCUGGGUGAGCCGGAGGCCGCUAGGAUGGCCACACAGCCCCACAGGCCUGGGACUCCAAGGGCCCCAGAGGAAGGGAAGGCAGACUCGGGGAUGCUGGGACUCACUUUCUCAGAGCUCUCAUAGUAGUGCUUUGUAGAACCUGAUCCUCUCAUCUGAGAUCUUAGCUUCAACAGCGAUGCCAGAGAAAUACCAAAAAAAGAUAUAAAUACCCAGCUGCAAGAAUUUGGAUCUGAAAGGAAUAAUAAUCUUAACAAGUAGUAGACGUAUUAAAGUACUAAUGCUCCUGAAGUGAGGUUGGGGUAAGUUAAGGCCCCUCCCUAGAUCGCUACUGGCUGUUUCUGCAGGAGCUAAUAAUGACCGUCAGGCAGGUGUCACUGCAGCACUUAGUACGUGCAGCACCCUGCCAGCACCUGCUCACCUCUUUACGAGCACUAACUCUCUCCACUGCUCCUUCCAGCUUCCUCUCAGCCAAACACGCUGUCUGGGCAGCAUGCUGUCUUUGCAGGCUUCCUGGCAAUCUCCAUGCGACUGUGAGGUUAGGGCGGCCUGAUUCCUGUUUGCCCAAACAUAGGAGAACACAGUGUUUUUUUUCCAGCCUGUUUUUCAACUACUGAUAUGUGGAGAAGUAGGAAGCUUUCCUCCCACCCAGUGCUCCAGCAACACACACACACACACACACACACACACACACACACACACACACACACACACACACACACAUACACACACACACACACACACAUACACAUACACAUACACACACACACACACACACACAAUGAACCACAAUAGCACAACAUUUAGAAAUAGACUUUUCUAUGUUAUUUGGCUCUCUGAAUAGCCUUUCCUGCAUAUAGAAUGACAGAGUGUUUGUUACAUUCAACAUUGAAGUUGAAGAAACUGAACCCCAAGUAGGUUCAGUAACUUGAAUCUGGUCAUACAGCUAGUUAGUGGCAAAGCUGAAAUCAGACACAUCUAACUCUUAGCCAGCACUUUUCCAUUAUACCUCCUCCUAACUCCCUCUCAAGCCAUUUAAAAAAGAAAUAUAUGAGGACUUCCCUGGCAGUCCAGUGGUUAAGACUCCACUGCAGGGGACACAGGUUCAGUCCCUAGUAGGGGAACUGAGAUCCCACAUGCUGUGCCACGUGGCCAAAAAAUUAAAAAAUAAAAUAAAUUCAAAAAGAAACAUCUGGAGAAGCAAAAGAUCCAUGUAGAACUAAUCAUUCAAUAAUCAACCAUACUGGUCCCUUGAUUAACGAUAUUAAGUAAAAUUCCCCUGAAACAUAGGGAAAGUUUCUAGUGAACCAUAGUUGUUUGGUUAGAUAUUUCUUUGAUCCCUGCAGGCAUCCGUAAAGAAAUGGCCUGGAGGAAAGCAAAAUUUCAAUCAAAAAAAGGAAUCUUUUAGGCAGAGAGAACUCCUGCCAAUCUGAGCAUUUAAGCCUCCAAAAAUAGUAUCACAUAAUUGAUGUUAUGAGUGUGUACAGCUCAGGAGCCCAGGAAUCUGCAUAUACUUUAUAAAUAUUAAGAUAUUUCCAGAAAACUGAAACCAGAUCAUGAGGAAUAUACUCUCAUAUUUUAUAUACAUGCAGCACAAAAUUCACAUCCCUGACUUUAACCUAAAAUCUGUGUAGCAAACCAUCCUUUUACCAAAAUUACUUUGCUCGGAAUCUAAUCCAACUGAGAAGAGGGUGCCUGAAGUCUCAGAGGGGAAGACAUUCAUCCUCUGAAAACCAGGUAAACAGAGGAUGCUAAAACUGGAAAAGAAGGUUACCAGGUCAGGGUCUUUGCAUUUCAUUCUCUAUCUUGCCAUGUUUCAAAAAGAGGAUUUUUAGCCACUGGGAGACAUGUUCCAGGAUCAGAGAAAAUUUAACUAUCUGCCUUUUGAAAAUUAUGAUGAUAUGGUUUUAUAUAUCCUGAUUUCCUGCCACCACCAGGAUUAGAUUUAGUUUUUUAAUUUAUCUGAAUUGUGGUACAUCCUAAUUAACUAGGUUUCAGAUCUUGGCGGGGGUGGGGCUUGUACUAAGAAGAUGUACAUCAUCUCAAGAAGAAUGUCCCAGCUGCUAUUUGGACCCAGCCGUUCUACUUCCAGGAAUUCGGUCUAAGGAAAUAUUUCAGAAGGGAAAAAUGCUCACCAUGCAGAGAUGUUUAUAAUCAACUUUAUGAUAGCAAAAAGCAGGAAUGAGCAACAAUUAGACAAUGGUUAAAUAAACAAUGAUAGCAAUUCAGUUUGAAUAUUUUGUAACCAUUGAAAAUGAUACAUAGAAGAGCAUAUAAGAAACAAUCGCAUGAGUAUUAUACCUCAUAAUUUUAUACUUUAGAGUUUACAGAUUGUGUUUAUAUUACAUUAUCUCACUUAUGCUUCACCAUAACCUUGUGAAAUAGAAGCAGUUCUCUCCAUUUGCUGAUAGAAAAACAGACUAGUGGAGCUAACAUGGUUUGUCUCGGAUCACUCAUGAAGUAUUCAACACAUUGACCACAACAAUUUAAAAACCGUAGGCGUAUAGAUCAAGAUUUGAAAGACCGGAAAACAAGUUGCAAAUAGUUGCUCUGUUAAAAUGGAGUGUUUUUCCUCUGUGAGUGUGUGUGUUGGGGGUGGGGGGGUUGCAGGUUUGUUUUGUUUGUUUGUUUGUUUUGGUAAAACUCCUUUAAACACUGAAUACUUCUAAGAUUAUUUAUCCUAAUCAUUGAUGCCAAGUUCUUCAGCUUCCUUAUUAGACAUCAGAAUCUUGAGAUUACCUAUGACGGGUUGUCUUUGCUUUUGGCAGAUACACACUAAAUCAUAUUCAUGGCCUGCAUUCUCAUACAGACAGGAAGGUUCUCUGGGAUGGCCAAACAAGUGGCUUUUACAUGUCGCCCACCUACUAUGCCCCCAACUCCAAUGCUGCCAUGGCCACAGGGGAGCCCAUUCCCACUGAAUCUUGCUUGAGACAUUCGCUUAUAUACCCACUAAAGUAGUUCCUCUCUGAAAAUCAAGUCCUUGAGUCCUUCAGGGUUGGAAGUUUCCAGAGCUGCUUUCUGGAAAGGUGUCCUGUAGCCAGAGUGAUUUGGUAGAUACGUGUGAUCAAGCUUUCAGCUUGUGUCCCUGGUUUAAUAUGACAAAUCUCUCAUCCCCAAUAUUUUGUUCCCUUUGUUUCUCUUUGUUCUCUUUGAGUCUCAGUGUCUUUUCCAGGACAUAAACAUUCUCCAUUGGGAAUGUUCAUUCUAAUUCAAACAUCUCCAAAGCUGGAACAAGUAGCACAUAAGACAGGAUCAGGAUUCUCCUUGUCAACACAGAAACGGACAUCACUCCCAUGGAGACCAUCCCUAGAAACGGACAUCACUCCCAUGGAGACCAUCCCUUUUCUCGUACAGCAGGAACAAUUUCUGUUGGAAAGUCAUCUUUAAAGGAUUACCGCCUGGCUGCAACUUGAUUGUAAACACAAAUAUGACCAGAGGAACUGAAAUCCCCAAAUAGUUUUCAGUUAUCAGUGGGCAUCCAGGGGAUACAGUGUGUACAGUGUGUGUGUGUGUGUGUGUGUGUUUAAAUUCUCAUAUCUUAAGGACAGAGAGUACUUUCAGAGAUCCAAGUUUGAAAACCAUCGCUCUAACCCCGCAGCCUUUGGGGCUGCGGGGUUAGAGCGAUGGUUUCUCUCUCUCCUCCCUUUCAGGAUCAAGCUUUCUGGAAGAAUUGUCCAAACACGUCAUCUCCACUUCUUUCUCUGAAGCAUUCUGGCUUCAGGCCCUGCCACUCCACUGACUCUGUCCUUCCAGAAACACCUUUGGAGGAAUCAAUGGGCACAGCCCUUACGUUGUCACGUACACUGUCCCUGGGGCAUCCACCUGCAAUGACAGAUGGAAAUUGGUGAUAAGUAACCCAUUCCCACCCUUCACAUGGGACAGCUCUGAGGUGCAUAUUCUUCACUGUUUCUAAGAUUCCUCCCCGCCUUGUCCCGAAAGAUUAAACUUCAGUUGCCUGUAGGGUGACUUGCUUGACAAUAUACCCUCUUGUUUUCUUACCUUCCUCAUUUCCUUACCACUGUUUCUUAGGAUCAUCCCCCAAAUAAACGGCUUGCAUUCAAGUUCUUGUUUCAAGAUCUGCUCUGGGACAAACCCCAAAUAAGACUCAGUAUUUCUUCUGGGAAGUAGUUACUUCUUCAGGAUGCAGAGACGUGGGGCUACCAGUCCUCCCAUUGGCUGAACCCAAGCAGAAGGCAGGAAACCUGGGUGACACAGUGUGCAUACGAGGCUCAGCCUCUAAAAGGAUGGAGCAGCACAGAGGAGGUUGGGGGAAUGCCUCUGGAGGAAAUGGGGUGCAGGAAAUAAGACAUAACACAGCACCAUUACAGGCAGACAGGCUAGCCUACCAUGCUGCUUUGAUGGAAUUCCUUGUGGCCAUUGGGUUAUGUGGAGCCCUAGGACUUAUUAGGCCUACAUGUAUUUCCUGAUUUUUCUAUAAUAGAUACACUUUACUUUUGCAAGAGGGAUACAAACUUAAGACAAUGUAUAUCAAAAGAUAAAAAUCAUGCUUUUAAAUGAGAUACAUCUUUAUAACAAUUACACAUCGUAAACAUGUGACUCAGAAGAGCCUAAAAGUCUAAUCUGGUCUUCAUUUGGGGCCCACUGUGAUUAAGCCAGGGCACUGUAAUUAGGAUGGCAGUAUCUUUGUGUAAUAGUUGUUUCAGUGUUUCAGUUUAGGGCCCAGAUGAGAAAACGAGCAAAACUAGUAAUAUUAUCAUUACAUUGCUGAACAAGAUCCAUUACAAAAGCCAUGUAGAGUAUGUGAAAGUUCUGUUUAGGGGAAGCAACAGCAAAAUAUAAUUUCAGUUCUAGUUCACUUUUAAAUAUAUUUUGUUUAAUUCUUCAGGAGAGACAAAUUUAAAUGUCUGGUCACUGAAGGAGAAAGAGCAAGGAGUAAACAACACAAAGGAUAUUUGUUAGGAUACAUGUUGUCAGCCCCUUCUCCCCUCAAAAGAGUCGUUCUUUCUUUCUUUCUAUUUUUUUUUUUUACUUUUGGUUCAACCAAUGUCAGAAUUCCUAGCAAGAAUCAGGUAGGAUUUUACUCUUUUAAUAACGUGGUUUAUCCCUCUGUUCAUGACACGAUCCCCAUAGUAGAUUUUUAUCUCGCUGUGGUUAUCUCCCAUUAGGACACUGGAGCACAAGGAAAAAUCACGAGUAUCGUUAACAUUGGUCUGGGCUAAAGAAAUGCUUUUGGCUUUUUUAAAAUUGUGGUAAAAUAUAUAUAAGUGAAAUUUACCAUUUUAAAUUUAGCUGUACAGUUGACUAGCAUUAACUACAUUUACAAAGUUGUGCAACCAUCACCACUAUCCAUCUCCAGAACUUUUUCAUCUUCUCCAACUGAAACUCUGUACCCAUCAAACAAAAACUCCCCAUUCCCUACCCCUGCUGCCACCCCAGCCACUGGAAACCACCAUUCUACUUUCUGUCUCUAUGAAUUUGACAGUUCUACGUACCUCAUAUAAGCGAAAUCAUACAAUAUUUAUCCUUUUGUGUCCAGCUUAUUUCACUUAGCAUCAUGUCUUCAAGGUUCAUCCCUAUUGGAGCUUGUGUCAGAAUUUUCUUCCUUUUUAGGGCUGAAUACUAUUCUAUAUUUUAAUAUAUGCCACAUUUUGUUUAUCCAUUCAUCUGUCGAUGGACACGGUUUUUCCACUUUUCAGUUAUUUUGAAUAAUGCUGCUGUGAACAUUAUUAUGUACAAAUAUCUGUUUGUGUAUAAAAAUAUCCAAGUUCCUGCAGAUUUGAUUUUUAAUAGAUUCUUAACCCAUACAGCAUGUGUGAUGUGUAUUUAAACCUUAUCAAGAGGCUUUCCUUUUGAGAGAUUAUAGAGUUCCAGAGACUUUACAAAGAAAUAUUUUUCUAAUUUUGAAAUAUAGUUAGAAAAUAGGUGUAAACAAGGAGAGAGGCUUAACACAAAGGAAAUAAAAGUGCAGCUUAAUGACAGGAUGUAAAUAUCAAAUACCACAACCUCUGUAAUACAUCCUGCAUUUCUCCUUUUAUAGAUAUUUGUUUUAGUUUCCUGGAACUGAACAUAAACAGAUGAAAAUGUGGGGGGCUGAGUUGGUUAGAGUGCUCUUAGAAUGAUACUUAACUCUAGUGAAAAUUACUUAACACUGAUUUAAACUCUUUGAAGUUACUUCUUUGGGUUUCAGGAAACUUAAUUUUCUUGCUUAAAAAUGGACUUUUAAAAAAAAAUCUAUUUAGGAACUCACAUAGCUGCCACCUCUGGCAUCCAGAAACUUUGAAAGAGAUUUUGUUUUAGCUUCAAAUACCACGAGAUUUUUUUUUUCUUCACAACCUGAGUGGUUUGCUAUAAACACAGCAAGCACAUUAACCCUGUCAGAGGGCGAGAUAAGACAGAACAGAUGGUCCAUUUCACGUCAGCCCACAUGACCCCAAAAGGUGAUUCUUAUUUUGAAAACCAGGCAGAGGAGAUGUUUAGUGGAGGAAGUAUGUAGCUCAAGCAAGCUUUUUAGCUGUAAGCUGCUGGCAAUAGUCCUUGUAGCUACAAGCUCGGGCUGUUGCUAGGUAACCAUUUUGAAAUGGACAUCUAGCAACUAUUAACUGCCAUCCUCCUUAUCUGCUUCAUUAUUCCAGGAACAGACUUGCAAUUCCUAAAUCCUGUUUAACAUCAAAAGUCGGGGGUGGUGGUGGGGUGGGGAGAGAGAUUUUAGACUAUUAGUGCCUAUUUAUGGAAAUACCUGAAAGAAAAGCAACAAUGCCAGUCGUGAAUGACUAUUAUCUUAAUAAUUCUACUGUUUUAGACCACAUACUUACCACCUUCCAACCAACAUGUUAGUGUUUUUAUUUUGUGUUGCUUCACAUUUUAAUUUAUUUUUAUUUAUUUAUUUUUGCCUUUUAUUUUAUUAUUUUUUUAAAAUCUUUUUUCAGUUUUAUUGAGGUAUAACUGACAAAUAUUGUAUAUUUAAGGUGUACAAUGUGAUGGUUUCAUGAGAAUAUACAUUGUGAAAUGAUCACCACAAUCAAGUUAAUUAGCAUUCAUUACCUCACAUAGUUACCUUCUUUUUUUCACUUCUUCUCCCCUCCCCCCUCCCCACCUCCACUCUGGCAACCACCUGUUUGUUUUCUGUAUCUGAGUCUGUUUCUGUUUAGUUAUGUUUGUUCAUCUGUUUUGUUUUUUAAAUUACACUUAUAAGUCAUAUCAUAUGGUAUUUGUCUUUGUCUGACUUAUUUUACUUAGUGUAAUACCCUCUAGGUCCAUCCAUGUUGUAGCAAAUAGCAAGAUUUCAUUCUUUUUUGUAGCUGAGUAAUGUUCCAUUGUAUAUAUAUACCACAUCUUCUUUAUCCAUUCAUCUACCAAUGGGCAUUUAAGUUGCUUCCAUGUCUUGGCUAUUGUAAAUAAUGCUGCAGUGAAUAUAGGCAUGCAUAUGUCUUUUUGAAUUACUCUUUCUGUUUUCCUUUGAAAAAUACCCAGAAGUGGAGUUGCUGGAUCAUAUAGUAGUUCUAUUUUUAGUUUUUUGAGGAACCUCCAUACUGUUCUCCAUAGUGGCUGCACCAGUUUACAGCCCCACCUCACUGUGGGAUGGGAGGAUCAGAGUUAAGGUUGCUUUAAUUUUUAAAGGUUAUACUUGUUAACAUUUCUCCCCAAAUCCAGUAAGUGUGUAAUUUUGAUAUAAAGGAAACAAAAGCUAAAUUUAUACUGUCAUUCAGCUCAUUUUAAAAACUCUUCUUUGAGGAUAAUGAGUUCAUGUGAAUUAUGUUCCUGAUCAAUUAUUGCUCCAUUCAAGGGCAUAAUCUUUUUGUGAGCAAGAGUCCACUUUAUUCCCCCCCCCUUCAUUGUCUAGAGUUAGGUGCUUAAGGAGACAUCAGAGUGUCUUAGAAGGAGAGUUAUAUAUUGAAAAGUUAUGUACCAUCACUUUGUGAGGGAUUCAGGGAUUUGUGGAAGAGUAAAAGCCAGGGAGGAAAAGAUACAAGUAAACUCCAUAUUAGUUGGGAUUAGAUUCCUUUGUGACAGGAAAUUCAAAAUAAGAGUGGGUUAAGCAAGGCAGAAGUUUCUUUUUCAUUCCAUGUAAAUUUAGCUGGUAUGGUGGCUCCAAAGUCAUGAGAAGAAGAUGGGUUUCUUCUUUUUGUUUCCAUCAUCAUCAACCUUGUGGUCCAAAAUCAGUGUUCCCACUGGGCAUUGUGUCCUGUUCUACCCAGUAGGAAAGAAGAAAAGUGAGAAGGGCAUCCCCUCCCUUUAAGGACACUCCUGGAAGUUUCACAUCCCCCUUCCAACUAGACCACAAUGUUCAUGGACAGUUUCUUUUGCCUGUAGUCUGACAGACUCCACUCAUUUCCAAAGUUACUUAGGUUAACACUUGAUCCUCCCACCCCCCAGUGAGGUUGCUUCAUACAUUUAUAAUACAGAUAAAUUGUUUUGUCACGUUCUGCAUUCCAUCUCAGGAUCACUCACCCUCCUAAAUGAUUUAUAAAUUUGCAUAUAUUAAGAUUCAUUCUUUGUGCUAUAAAAUUCUAUGGUUUUGUUACAUAUAAUUUUAAAUAUUAAUAAAAUAUAUUUAAUGUUAUUUUAAAUAUAUCUAAUGAUUUAGUAUUUUAAUAUCAUUUGAAUAUAAACAAUAGCAAAUAGUCUGCCUAGGGUUGCACAGCUGUUAAGUGGCGGAGCUCGAAAUCAAAGCCAGAUGAGUGAAACUCCAAAGCCCCCAUUCCUUCUGCCAUGCCAUUUUCUUCUUCUAAGAAUCUUAACUCUGAAUCUUCUCAUAUGAUAGGGAAAACUUUAGCUUUCCAUGUGUAGAGUUGCUUGCUCUUUCCCAUAUAUUGGCUUAAUACUUUCUAGAUAUCAGGUCAGGUCUGGAGAGUGACUAUGGAAGGGUUUGUUUUUAGAAUUGCCAAGUGCCACUGGAUGAAGAUAGCACAUUGACAACUGAUUUGAUAAUAGAUCAAUGAAAGGGCACAGGCCAGUCAAAGCUGUGGAUGGGGCCUCAUUAAUGGUCAACUGUAAAAUUUCGUUCCAUCACCCACCCAUUUCCCCUUGUUGUUUUAAUAUUUUGGACCUGUCAGUACCUAUUUGCAAUCUCUGCUACCUCCAGCUGCCCAACAACUAGCUGAUACUUCUGUUUAUCCAUCCCUCGCUGUCUCAUUACCCUGCUGUGCCCUCUCACCUCGCACUUUGUAAUAUACUCAGUAAAGUUGCUCCCCUUCUGUUGAUCAUGGAUGAUGGCUGUGGAGGCUGAAAGAAGGUGAAACUGGUUCAGUGGCAAAGGAAGGACAUGAGUGUUGUGUCAAAAGUUUGCAGUCCAAGGAGGAAAACAACUGCCCUUUUCGUAGAAACUCAGCUAAAAUUCAAAAUUUUAAAUUCAAAAAAACCCACUGUAUUUUUCUCUUCCCUGACCUGCCACUCCAAUGGGGUAUGUGGUGAGGACCAUUCAUUUUCCUCCCUUAUUGAUUCUGCCUUCAUCCUUGAUAGAGAAUCGUUGAAUGAUACCAGGCUAAUGGCUGUCCAGAAUAAUGUUUUCCAGACUCUCUGGAAAACACUGUAGAUGAUAAAGUUGCCUCCCACAUGGGUGCAGGUUAACAACAAUUCUGAAACUGCCCUGCAUGUAUACUGGAAUUGAACAAUUAAGUAAAUGGAUGUGGUUGGUAGGAACCAGUUUUCUCACUGUUGAAGCAAGGGAAGUCAGCUAUAAUGAUCAAUAUGGUAAUGGAUUUGAGUUGAAGAUAUCUGUAUGAAUUCAUGUUUAGAUUAAUAUAGAUGCAAAUGGUUACAUAGAAAUAUUUAUGGAUAUGUGUAAAUACGUGGGUUAGUAUAUGUACAUAUAGUUUCUCUUUUAGCUGAGAAGCAAAAACAUCCCAGUAACAGUCAGCAUAUUUAUCAUCCAGAUCUUGAUUUCUGAUACCAUCCUCCAAUAAAAGGAACCGAGGCUGCUCAAGAAAUGGCUAAUCCGAGGACUGCGGCAGAAAAUAUGCAAGAUGAGCCUGGAGCAUCUUAUAGAGCCAGAAAUUAAAGAAGUGCUAAAAAAAAAAAAUCCAUAAUGAAGGACUAUGUUAAAGGGACAAGGACCCACCUGAAAGAGUCCCCAGUGGUCAAAGGUGGAAAA